UUCGAGUGGCGGACGGGUGAGUAACGCGUGGGUAACCUGCCUUACACAGGGGGAUAACACCUGGAGACAGGUGCUAAUACCGCAUAAGCGCACAGGGCCGCAUGGCCCGGUGUGAAAAACUCCGGUGGUGUAAGAUGGACCCGCGUCUGAUUAGCUUGUUGGCGGGGUAGGGGCCCACCAAGGCGACGAUCAGUAGCCGGCCUGAGAGGGUGGACGGCCACAUUGGGACUGAGACACGGCCCAAACUCCUACGGGAGGCAGCAG
rnacentral:rRNA from 1 species